UUGAACUUGGGUCCUCCUGAAUCCCGGGCCGGUGCUCUACCCACUGUGCCACCUCGUGGCCCCUCGUCCCACCUUUUACUUCAAGAAUCUAAGCAGCCCUGAAGGAAGUUAUGGAUUCUGAAUCAGAGUUCAGCAGGAAGUGCAUCUCAGGCCUGAGGGCAAAGGAGUGGAGACAGGCCGGCCACAGAUGAGCAGACCAGGCAUCACAGCGGGACCACAGGGUGUUUGGAGAGGAGAGAUGUGCGGCUCAAGGGAUCCUUGGAGGCUCCUACCCAAAGCAAGAAACGCCUCUAUGGUAUUCCCUGCAGAAGCUUCGCCUGCAGACCUCCAGUGAUGGGGGACUCAGUGCCCACUCCACUUUGCAGCUCACUGACUGGUCAAGAGGUGAGGGAUGAGAUGGUUUGGGACAGGGCAGGAGAAGGGCCGGCCAUCGCCCCCAACGCCGACCCCAAGGAUGACUUCACCAGGGGAAGAGGGAGUCUGGGCCCCGGAGUGCCCUAGGAGUCUGGGGGUGAGCGAUGCCAAGGGCCCUGCUCCCUUCCCCACCUUCUCUCAGAAUCUUGGAGUUGGGGGGGGGACCUAGGGGCUCUCUAGUCCAGCUCAUACAUGAACGACAUACCUGACUGGCCCGGCCUGUGCUGGGAGAGGGGCGGGGCCCACUGCCUCCUGAGGCAGCCCCUGUCCCCUUCUCGACAUCUCAAGCUAUCAGGAAAUUUCCCCUUCCCUGGAGCUGAAAUCUGCCCCUCGUGUAGUCCAAGGGGCCCCUUAUGGUUAGGCCGCUGACCUCCUCCCUUGGAGGGGGGCUCCCAACACUGUCUGCACGUCUCCUUAUGUUCCUGGGCCUCAGUUUCCUCAUCUUUAAAAGGAGGGGUGGGAUUAAACGGCCCCUUCUCCCUCACUUCCAGUCUUCUUCCACUUCUCUGCCCUCCACACCCAUGACAGGCAGCUACACUGGCCUUCUCCCUGUCCUCCCAGCCCUUCCACUGCCCAGUUCUGAUCUAGCAUCCUAGGAGUCCCCUCCUCAGGCUCCCCGGCACUUCCUGCUUGGCCUGCUUGGGAAAGGUUCUCACAGCCUUUCCAUGCAGGAAGGGUGGGGGUGCUGGUGGCCCUGCCUCCGUAGCUGAGGCCUGGGCUCCUUGUCUGCUCCUCCGAGGGACCAGCCUGGGUUGUGAGCGCAUCUCAUCAGGCUUUGCUGCCCACGACACUUGGGCCCUCCCUCGGGGCCCGGCGACU